rnacentral:lncRNA from 1 species
ACCAUGGUUCUGCUUCGUCGGAGUUUGAUCGAUGAGAAUAUCAAGCGCAGUGAAAAUCCUUGCGAACUUCUCUGCAUUCUCAGCUUCCGAUCUUUCUAACCGUUCAAAGAUCUCACUCUGAAGAAUUUGCAUCUCAUCGGUGUUGCGCUUGUUCUCUGGUGAAAUUCUGCUACCACCGGGUUGAGCCAUGGUGAGAUGAAAGCACCAAUGAAACAGAUCUAACAGUGUAAUAAAGAUAUAUGUGAAUUAAAGGAAGAAUCUCUUAUUGAAC